rnacentral:rRNA from 1 species
UACAGAGGGUGCGAGCGUUAAUCGGAAUUACUGGGCGUAAAGGGCGCGUAGGCGGCUAAUUAAGUUAGAUGUGAAAUCCCUGGGCUUAACCUGGGAAUUGCAUUUAAGACUGGAUGGCUGGAGUAGAGUAGAGGGAAGUGGAAUUUCCGGUGUAGCGGUGAAAUGCGUAGAUAUCGGAAAGAACAUCAGUGGCGAAGGCGGCUUCCUGGACUCAUACUGACGCUGAGGCGCGAAAGCAUGGGGAGCAAACAGG